AUGGAGUUGCUGAUGGAGCUAGUGCCACCAACCACUUUGCAGAAGUUUGAGAUAUCUGGUUAUAUUAGUGCCAGCUUUCCAGACUGGCUAAUGAGUAUUGGCAAUUAUCUCCCUAAUAUUGUCCAAAUGGAGAUGUAUAAUAUGCCCAACUGUAACAGUCUUCCACCAUUCUCCCAACUACCAAACCUCCAAGUGCUUACUCUGGAAGGCAUGAAAAGCCUGGAAGAAUGGAACACAACACUCUCUAUUGGUGAGGAUGAGCUCAUGUACCAUAAGCUUGAGAAAGUGAAUAUAAAUUAUUGCCCUAAGUUGAGGAUAAAACAACACCUUCCUAGAGCUGCAUCUUGGAGUAUAAAAGGAAGUGAUAAUGUGCUCAUAUCAUGGCCAGAGAGCGUGUCAGACAAUGAUGUUUCCUCAUCUUCUUCUCCGGUAGGAGUAUCUACUAAUCUGACAGUUGAAAACACGGAGGUGCCUCUGCAUCUGUGGAGAUUACUUCAUCAUCUACCGGCCAUCAGUGAUUUGCACAUCCAAAGUUGCGAUGAUUUGACAAGCUUUCCAGAGAUCAGUUGGGCCCUCCGGUCCCUCCAAUCACUGACAUUGCAGUACUUGGCCCAAUCAGAACUGUCCAGAUGGGUAGGUGAGUUGUCAUCUCUUCAGCAACUGGUGAUAACGCGAUGCAAUGUGCUAGAGGAAUUGCCCGAUAGCAUGAGGCAACUCAAACAGCUGCAAUCAUUAACACUAAGUACCUGUCGUAGCUUGAGACAGCUGCCUCUGUGGUUAGGAGAACUUACAUCUCUCAAGAAACUUAUAAUUUUGCGCUGUUCUGCUAUCACGACUUUGCCAAACAGCUUACAACAGCUCACGAAUCUCCAAGAAUUAGAAAUUCAUGCCUGCCCUAAGUUAGAGCAGUGGCUUCAAGCGGAGGAGAACAAGCCGAAGCUUGCUCACAUAGAACAAAAGAGGAUCUAUUUUCGGCCGAAGAGUGCUGCCAGCCGCCGAUGUUUCCCACUACGGUGGCCCUUGCUGCAAACGAAAUUAAGAAAGUGA
rnacentral:rRNA from 1 species